GUGCUCACUUUGGCAGCAAAUAUACUAAAAUUGGAACAGUACAGAGAAGAUUAGCAUGGCUCCUGCACAAAGAAAAAAAAAGAAACAGGGAAUGAACAAAUAGAUGUUU